UACGAAGGGGGCUAGCGUUACUCGGAAUUACUGGGCGUAAAGCGUGCGUAGGUGGUUUGUUAAGUCUGAUGUGGAAAGCCCUGGGCUCAACCCUGGGAAUUGCAUUGGAUACUGGGCAGGCUAGAGUGCGGUAGGAGGGUAGUGGAAUUCCCGGUGUAGCAGUGAAAUGCGUAGAGAUCGGGAGGAACACCAGUGGCGAAGGCGACCACCUGGCCUGGUUCUUGACGCUGAGGCGCGGAAAGCUAGGGGAGCAAACGGGG
rnacentral:rRNA from 1 species